rnacentral:rRNA from 1 species
AUACGUAGGGGGCGAGCGUUGUCCGGAAUGAUUGGGCGUAAAGGGCGCGUAGGCGGCCCGGUAAGUCUGGAGUGAAAGUCCUGUUUUUAAGAUGGAAAUUGCUUUGGAUACUGUCGGGCUUGAGUGCAGGAGAGGUAAGUGGAAUUCCCAGUGUAGCGGUGAAAUGCGUAGAGAUUGGGAGGAACACCAGUGGCGAAGGCGACUUACUGGACUGUAACUGACGCUGAGGCGCGAAAGUGUGGGGAGCAAACAGGAUUAGAUACCCUGGUAGUCCACACUGUAAACGAUGAAUGCUAGGUGUAGGGGGUAUCGACCCCUUCUGUGCCGCAGUCAACACAAUAAGCAUUCCGCCUGGGGAGUACGGCCGCAAGGCUGAAACUCAAAGGAAUUGGCGGGG